rnacentral:rRNA from 1 species
CAUGCUAGCCAUACCACCUUGUCAAAAUCCGGAUCUCGUCAGAUCUCAGAAGCUAAGCAAGGUGAGGCUUGGUUAGUAGUUGGAUUGG